GUAGGUGAACCUGCGGAAGGAUCAUUACCGAGUCCUCCUGUUCUGCAGGAACUCCCACCCUUGAAGACUGAAGCGUUGCUUCGGCAAGACGUCUCUGGACCAUCGGCGUAUUUAUCGAUGUGCGCUUGCCGGAGUUCCAAACUCUAAAUAUGUAUCGUCAGAUGAAACAAGCAAUAAAUAAAAACUUUCAACAACGGAUCUCUUGGUUUUGGCAUCGAUGAAGAACGCAGCAUCUGACUGACUUGGGAUG
rnacentral:misc_RNA from 1 species